AUUGAACGCUGGCGGCAUGCCUUACACAUGCAAGUCGAACGGUAACGCGGGGCAACCUGGCGACGAGUGGCGAACGGGUGAGUAAUGUAUCGGAACGUGCCCAGUUGUGGGGGAUAACUGCUCGAAAGAGCAGCUAAUACCGCAUACGACCUGAGGGUGAAAGCGGGGGAUCGCAAGACCUCGCGCAAUUGGAGCGGCCGAUAUCAGAUUAGGUAGUUGGUGGGGUAAAGGCUCACCAAGCCAACGAUCUGUAGCUGGUCUGAGAGGACGACCAGCCACACUGGGACUGAGACACGGCCCAGACUCCGACGGGAGGCAGCAGUGGGGAAUUUUGGACAAUGGACGCAAGUCUGAUCCAGCCAGGCCGCGUGCGGGAAGAAGGCCUUCGGGUUGUAAACCGCUUUUGUCAGGGAAGAAACGCUCUGGGUUAAUACCUCGGGGUAAUGACGGUACCUGAAGAAUAAGCACCGGCUAACUACGUGCCAGCAGCCGCCGUAA
rnacentral:rRNA from 1 species